UACGAAGGAUCCAAGCGUUAUCCGGAUUCAUUGGGUUUAAAGGGUGCGUAGGCGGUUUUGUAAGUCAGUGGUGAAAUCUCCCGGCUCAACCGGGAAGCUGCCAUUGAUACUGCAGAACUAGAGUACAGAUGACGUUGGCGGAAUGUGUCAUGUAGCGGUGAAAUGCAUAGAUAUGACACAGAACACCGAUUGCGAAGGCAGCUGACGAAACUGCAACUGACGCUGAUGCACGAAAGUGCGGGGAUCAAACAGG
rnacentral:rRNA from 1 species